rnacentral:rRNA from 1 species
UGGGGAAUAUUGCACAAUGGAGGGAACUCUGAUGCAGCGACGCCGCGUGAACGAAGAAGGCUUUCGAGUCGUAAAGUUCUUUUAUAUGGGAAGAUAAUGACGGUAUCAUAAGAAAAAGCCCCGGCUAACUACGUGCCAGCAGCCGCGGUAAUACGUAGGGGGCUAGCGUUGUCCGGAAUCACUGGGCGUAAAGGGUUCGCAGGCGGAAAUGCAAGUCAGGUGUAAAAGGCAGUAGCUUAACUACUGUAAGCAUUUGAAACUGCAUAUCUUGAGAAGAGUAGAGUUAAGUGGAAUUUUUAGUGUAGCGGUGAAAUGCGUAGAUAUUAAAAAGAAUACCGGUGGCGAAGGCGACUUACUGGGCUCAUUCUGACGCUGAGGAACGAAAGCGUGGGUAGCAAACAGG